UAAUACGUAGGUGACAAGCGUUAUCCGGAAUUACUGGGCGUAAAGCGCACGCAGGCGGCAGAUUAAGUCUGACGUGAAAUCUCCUGGCUUAACUGGGAGGGGUCGUUGGAAACUGGUCAGCUUGAGGUGGUGAGAGGGGUGUAGAAUUCCCGGUGUAGUGGUGGAAUGCGUAGAUAUCGGGAGGAAUACCAGUGGCGAAAGCGACACCCUGGCACUAGCCUGACGCUCAUGUGCGAAAGCGUGGGGAGCAAACGGG
rnacentral:rRNA from 1 species